AUCAGUAAUCCAUCCUAGAGGUGGUGUUCUUUUUAAGAAUUUGAGAAGGAAAACGUAGUUCCCAGCUACUUUUAUAUAAUUUGUGCCUUUAAAUGGCUCCAGUGAAAAGUAAGAUGUAAAUGCAGAUAAUUACAGAACUUACAUACAAAGAGUGUGUAAGAGGGGAAGGGAGAGUGAGAAACUCAGGCUUCACAGAGGUGACACUUGAAUUGGGGUUAAGUUGAAGAACAGACAAACUUAGACACAAAGCUAUGCAAAAAUUGUGAUGAACAAGGAAAAAGUAAGUUUGGAAAGGAAAGCACAGGUCAGAUUAUAUUUAUUCUCAGGAUUUUGGACUUUUUUAUUAGGGAAAUUUAAACAAGGGGAAUGAUCUUAUAUUUGUAUUCUAGAAAGAUUACUCUGGCAGCAGCAGUAUGAAGGAUGGCUUGUAGGAGAUAAGAGAAAUAUCUUAUCACCAGGGUAAACUCUCCUGUGGUAGGUAAAACUGUGGAGGUGCAUUAGAAUGCUCAAAAUGAGAAAGAGGCUAAGUAGUGCUCCCUGAAGAGCACCAUUAUUUCACAAGUUAGAGAGAAAAGACUCAAUGGAGACUUAAAAGACAAAACACAAAUAGGGAAACAAAGGGAGAUGCGGAGUUAUGGAAGCCAAGAGAGAAGUGGUUUAUGGUGUCAGAUUCUCAGAGGGGUCAGGUAAAAAAAAA
rnacentral:lncRNA from 1 species